UGAACGCUGGCGGCGUGCCUAAUACAUGCAAGUCGAACGAGGUGCAGCAAUGCGCCGAGUGGCGAACGGGUGAGUAACACGUAGGUAACCUGCCCCUAAGUCUGGGAUACCCAGGGGAAACCUUGGCUAAUACCGGAUAGCGGCGGAGGGACAUCCCUUCCGCACGAAAGUCGCGUUUGCGACGCUUUCGGAUGGACCUGCGGCACAUUAGCUAGUUGGCGGGGCAACGGCCCACCAAGGCGAGGAUGUGUAGCCGACCUGAGAGGGUGAACGGCCACAAUGGAACUGAGACACGGUCCAUACUCCUACGGGAGGCAGCAGUAGGGAGUUUUCGGCAAUGGGCGAAAGCCUGACCGAGCAACGCCGCGUGAAGUGAGAAGGUCUUCGGAUUGUAAAGCUCUGUUACGAGGGACGAACGGUGGGGUCAGGAAAUGGGCUCCAAUUGACGGUACCUCGCCAGAAAGUGACGGCUAACUACGUGCCAGCCGCCGC
rnacentral:rRNA from 1 species